GCGCGUUAAAGUUUUGCGAAGCCAGGGGGCGGGGUUACUUGAUUGACAGUCCGGUCUGGAAUGAUUGACAGGUCCUAUGGAGGAGGAAGCAGAGACUCUGUUCUCCUCAUUUGGAUUAAUUCUGAUAUAAUAACUGUUGGUUUAUUUAUCGGUGGAGCAGCAGAACCUUUUCCACAGACAGUUUUCCUGCCCGUUGGCUUGUGUUGACCAGUUUUCUGCCUUCAGCUGAUUCUACCAGCAGACACUGAAAGGUCUUGUUCGGUGUCUCAUAUUCACUGUGAGGAUCUUCUGAUUGAAGCCAACAGAAGAAAAACCUCAUCUGGUUGUGAAGAAGGAGACUGAAUGGAUGACAUCCUCAGUGAACCAUUUCCUGUUUAACUUUCACUUACAGAAGGACAGAAACAAGACAAGUUGUAUUAUGAAGAGAGGAGCUGAAUCUGCAGCAUUAUUAUUAUUACUGGAAGGAUGAGGAGGACAUCAGUGCUGCUCUUCCUCACAGUGAUGAAGGAGAGAAGAUUCUUCAGACAACCACAGCUGGAUGUUCAUGUUCUCUGUAGCUCUCAGUCCAUCAGACCAGAUGUUCCCAAUGAUCCAGACCAAGGCUAGAAGGAAAAUACACUAACAAAGCCGGAAGGGGGAGCUCUCCACCGCUAUGCUUCAUUCGGACUGGAGCUGCCGAGGAAGCAUUGCAUAUCGUGAGCGUGCGCUUUUUGAUCCUCUUCUUCAGAGUGAAAGUAGCAGUUCCUCCUUAAGGUCACAGAUUGCAGCAUCUGAGGGCCUCUUCAAAAGAAGACGUAGUUGAUGAAGGCGUUCUGGAGCAGGACCAGAAAGACCACGACCAAGCAGCCUCGAGAUCUUAGGCAGCGUCUCCCUCGGACCAAAGAACUACAGACUCUUGGUACAGGACCUCACUACACGGGUCAAGA
ensembl:lncRNA